UUCUGUCUUCAGAUUCUUCUUCGCUACUGGACAGCAUUUCUAGAAUGAAAUACUCCGAGAUUUGUAGGAAGAAGCCAGUAGGGAUCAAAAUGAUGUGUCAUUCCCUUAAAAAGGAAGGAGAAAAAACAACGGUAAAAAAGGCAGGUCAUGAGAAUCAAGAUAGAAAAGCUGUUUUCUACAUCUCAUUUGAUGCAAACAAAUGGAAGAGCAGCAUCACUACUUCUUCAGGGUCUUCAGAAGAUUGAAAAGCUUUUCUUGAGCAGAGCAUGUUGUGGAGGUGAAUGGAGGAGUACAGACA